UACGGGGGGAGCAAGCGUUGUUCGGAUUUACUGGGCGUAAAGAGCGCGCAGGCGGUCGUUCAAGUCGAGUGUGAAAGCCCCCGGCUCAACUGGGGAGGGUCAUUCGAUACUGAUCGACUCGAAGGCAGGAGAGGGAAGCGGAAUUCCCGGUGUAGUGGUGAAAUGCGUAGAUAUCGGGAGGAACACCAGUGGCGAAGGCGGCUUCCUGGCCUGUUCUUGACGCUGAGGCGCGAAAGCUAGGGGAGCAAACGGG
rnacentral:rRNA from 1 species